ACGAACGCUGGCGGCGUGCUUAACACAUGCAAGUCGAACGGAAAGGCCCUGCUUUUGUGGGGUGCUCGAGUGGCGAACGGGUGAGUAACACGUGAGUAACCUGCCCUUGACUUUGGGAUAACUUCAGGAAACUGGGGCUAAUACCGGAUAGGAGCUCCUGCUGCAUGGUGGGGGUUGGAAAGUUUCGGCGGUUGGGGAUGGACUCGCGGCUUAUCAGCUUGUUGGUGGGGUAGUGGCUUACCAAGGCUUUGACGGGUAGCCGGGCUGAGAGGGUGACCGGCCACAUUGGGACUGAGAUACGGCCCAGACUCCUACGGGAGGCAGCAGUGGGGAAUAUUGCACAAUGGGCGGAAGCCUGAUGCAGCAACGCCGCGUGCGGGAUGACGGCCUUCGGGUUGUAAACCGCUUUCGCCUGUGACGAAGCGUGAGUGACGGUAAUGGGUAAAGAAGCACCGGCUAACUACGUG
rnacentral:rRNA from 1 species